UACGUAGGGGGCAAGCGUUGUCCGGAAUCAUUGGGCGUAAAGCGCGUGUAGGCGGCUCGGUAAGUCCGCUCUGAAAGUCCAGGGCUCAACCCUGGGAUGCGGGUGGAUACUGCCGGGCUCGAGUCCGGAAGAGGCGAGUGGAAUUCCCGGUGUAGCGGUGAAAUGCGCAGAUAUCAGGAGGAACACCAAUGGCGAAGGCAGCACUCUGGGACGUGACUGACGCUGAGACGCGAAAGCGUGGGGAGCGAACAGG
rnacentral:rRNA from 1 species